GUCCGGGUGGCGGAAUUGGCAGACGCGCUAGCUUGAGGUGCUAGUGCCCGCAAGGGCUUAGGGGUUCAACUCCCCUUUCGGACA
rnacentral:tRNA from 1 species